rnacentral:lncRNA from 10 species
GUGGGAAGGAGUGCAGCUUGUUGAAGGGAGGCUGGCCCUUUCUCGCCCAUUCCUCCAGGCUCAGGCCUGCUCCCUGGGGACAGUGCUUCUUGAGAAAACCUGGGGAAGGGCUGGCCCUGACCCCUGCACUUGCAUCACUGAGGGAGCUAUAAUUAGUUGGGAAGAGGAAAGAAGAGCGGAGUGUGUGAAUCACCAGCCCCAGUGACAGACUGUUGGAGCCGAGCAGAAGUUUCAAGAGAAGCCACUGGGUUGUGGGUGAGUUGGGGUGGUGUGUCGUGGGGAUGGCGCGCUGCCGCAGGCAGGCUGGGGUCCUGGAACACCAGGUCCAGGGAUGGGCACCUUCACCCCUCACCCUGAAGAGUCUUUUGCCCCGCCUCUCCCCAGACCCUGUCACCCGACACCCUAUCCCAGCGUUCAGCUUCCCUGCAGCUCCUGUCUGCCCUGACUGACCCCAGGACCUCUCCCCUCCCCAGUCCUUGCUGACACAAGCCUGAGCAGAGAGACUAGCACUCAAAUGAGGAGAGAGAAACUGUAGAGGAUUUGAGCUCCAGGGUUUGGAGACUGUCCAGUCCAACUCCUUAUUCAUUCAUUCAUUCAUUCAUUCAUUCAUGCAUGCAUGCAUUCAUUCACUUAGUCAUCAAAUACUGAACUACUGCUCUGUGCCUAGCCCACAGACAAGCAAACUGAGGCCCAGGGAAGUGCCAGGCCUUGCCCAAGGCCAUACAUCUGUGAGUGGUGCAGCCUCUCUGCCUGUCCGUCAUCACUAGCUCUGCUGAGCCAGGCCCUGGCCAGGGCUCUGACCACCAAGGUGACCACAACUGGAACCCACUCUCACAGAGCCCCUAUCCCAAUGGGGAAGCAACCAGGUACCUGUUAGACAAGGAGCCUGGAGGUAGUUCCUGACCAGCCUGGUGGACAUGGAGGACUUCCCAGGGGAGGAGGAAAAGCAGCAUGACAGCGGCCAUCAUGCUGGGAAGGACCUUAAAUGACUCAGUGUGCCUAAGCUCGGGGAGUGGCAGGAAUUGGGGUCAGGGUUGCUAGAGAGUGAGGCUUCUUGGACCAGGUCAUUACAAUGCCCAUUUUGCCCACAUUUCUCCUGAGCUCCUGCCUGAAUGGGCAUGACCUGCUGGCCAGGGGCACCCUGGGGCAAUGCUCACCAUGUGGACUUGGUCCUUGGAGACCCUCCACUAGUUCUUCCUGAUGCCGGGAGCACCAGUCAGUCAGUGGACCGGACAGUCAGUGACCAAGGAGUGUGGCCCUGGGUUUCUCCCUCCCUCCUUCUCCCCUGGCUGAGGACCGGCUGCCUGACUCUCUAGGGGCCCCAGCUCAGGCCUCAGGAGGGAGCACACUGGAGCAGUGUGGCCUGGAACUGAGAGCAGAGGCCCCAGGUCCCCAGGGAGGGGAUGCUUCCUCCCCUGGGAGAGCGUGGCAUCAUUCGGCACACAGAGAGCUCCCUUCUAACCCCAGACCAAAUUAGCCUUCCAAAUUAUAGGCUGCGUUUCCUCUAAAUUGGAGACUGGGUGGGAGAACAGAGGCCCGGCUCUCCUUCCUGCUUCCUGUUCACAGAGGGCCCUCAGUUGGUCUAGUCCCAGAUCACAGGACCACAUUCAGAAAGAAUUCAGGACACACACACCCUCCUGCCCCUCAGUUCAGGGAUCCCCAGGUCCCAGACCAGCAUCCAGGGCUCAGGGGAAGCCUGUACCCUUCUGGGGUUUGACAACGAACUUAGAGCCAGCAUGGUUCAGAUAAGGCCAACCCAGAGUUCUGAGGUCAUUUUCCGGGGGGAAGUCAUUCAUUCAAAAAACACUUUCUGGGUACAUUCUCUGUGCCAGGUACAGGACAGAAUGAGAAGGUGCACAGGUGGCUGUGGGAAUGCCUGGUGAGGUUAGGGAGGGCUUCCUGGAGGAAGAGGCAUAUAAACUGAGACCCCAAAAAAUGAAUGUGCUCUUGGUGAGGGGAAGAGAGGGGAAGACAAUUAUAGGAGGAAGGAGCAUUGAACGAAAAUCCCAGGAGCAGAGAGUGAGGGAGUGG